AAGUAAGUAAAAUGAAAACAGACCCAAGAACGAUAGAUUUAUUCCCAAACAGACAUCUAUCUAAUUGCUUAACCGCUUGGAUACCCAGAAACCAAAACAACAUAAGGCAUCAAGCCAUCAACUUCUAUUAUAUCUCUUUUCUUUCUUCACCACAGUUUCUCAGAAACGAAACAAAGAAAUAGAAACUGAGCAAUAAAAGAGGGUGUUACCGGGACACUGCCGAGAGUCAUUG
rnacentral:misc_RNA from 1 species